GAUGAACGCUAGCUACAGGCUUAACACAUGCAAGUCGAGGGGAAACGAUAGAGAAAGCUUGCUUUUCUAGGCGUCGACCGGCGCACGGGUGAGUAACGCGUAUCCAACCUGCCCAUCACUUGGGGAUAACCUUGCGAAAGUAAGACUAAUACCCAAUGAUAUCUCUAGAAGACAUCUGAAAGAGAUUAAAGAUUUAUCGGUGAUGGAUGGGGAUGCGUCUGAUUAGCUUGUUGGCGGGGUAACGGCCCACCAAGGCGACGAUCAGUAGGGGUUCUGAGAGGAAGGUCCCCCACAUUGGAACUGAGACACGGUCCAAACUCCUACGGGAGGCAGCAGUGAGGAAUAUUGGUCAAUGGACGAGAGUCUGAACCAGCCAAGUAGCGUGCAGGAUGACGGCCUAUGGUUGUAAACUGCUUUAUAAGGGAAUAAAGUGAGUCUCGUGAGGCUUUUGCAUGUACCUUAUGAAUAAGGACCGGCUAAUUCCGUGCCAG
rnacentral:rRNA from 1 species